GGCACGGUGGUCUAAUGGUAUGAAGCCUGCUAGAUAAGCCUAUACGCUCAGCACAUCUGGCGCUACGGGAUGAGGUUGGUGAUCUGGGUUCGAGUCCCUGCCGUGUCA